AUACAUGCUUAUCUAUAUAUGAUAUUUACAUAACCAUGGCUGCCAGUUGAGCCAUGGUGCAAAACUAAAAGCAAGAGGAUAUAAACCUAACCUUCAAGAUAAUCUCUGCGCCAAUUUCUCUAUCACCGUUUACCUUCCAACCUAAAACAAUACUAAUGAAAAUAAUAAUUAAAUUCAAAAAAUAUAGAGUCAUUCUUCAAGUCAUGGAGUAUACUGAAAAUAUCAUAUCCUUGUAAAUGUGAGGUUCUAACAAAUACUACUAGACAAUUAGAAAACUAAAAAGAACUAAACAGGGGAUAAGUUGGGUACACCCAAAUCUCAAGGAUGAGAAACAACCAAUUAGAAAAAGAAGAAAAAAAAACGAACUUGCAAUUCUAGAUUCUGCAGUAUGGAGGUGUUCGUAACCCUCAUUUAUAGCAAAUAUACUGUGAAAUUCAGACUUUAAACACCACCAAAUCUCAAUAUGAGGAGAGGCUAAUAUACGGCAAACAUCAUGCUUACUUGACAUAUUAUAAAUAAAACCAACUCCUUCAAAUUACAAUCACUAAGAAUAGUAAUACUAAAGUACUCAGAGUAAUCAUCAAUUUAUCAUAGGCAGCAAAAUCAUCAGACAUACAAAACAAAACCAAAGCAAAAUCAAUCCCUCUCAGCUUCAGAUCAAAAAGUAUUCCACACCAACAGAAAAGGUUUCAACUGAGAUUCAAAAGCAACAGAAAUAAGUAACAAAUCAAUCAAUUUGUUAUAUGCAUUCGACCACUAUCUGAAUCCCACGGAAACAAGCAACAAAAGGAGGAAUUUUCAGCUUAAAAAGACAAAAGGAACACCAACAUAGCAGUUCAGUAAUUUACCACAACCAAAACUUAGCCUACCAAAUUCACCGAUUGCAAGAUGAAAACCCAACACGCGAGUGUAAAAUCGAGUUAUGGGGGCUGCUAAAUCGGUACAAAUUGGCAAGUGAAAAAGAAAAAAUGAAAUUCAGAUCCUUUACCCAACAAAAAUCAAUUCUUCAAAAUCAAAGUACAUGCAAAACCCCCAUUAUCAAGUACAGGCAAAACCCUCAAAAUCAAAGGUAAAAAAUGAGUCUUUUCAACACAAAUCAGAGCCCUUUCCCUACAAAAAAUCAAUUCUUCACCUCAAACCCUCAUGAUUAAUCGCAGAUACAGAGAGAAAAUGUGCUCAAAUUCAAGAAAUUGCUCUAAAGAAUUACCUGAUUUUUUCUUUUUCCGACGACCACUGUUAUUCCUCCGCCCAACUCUGUUCGUGGUGGCUAAUAUAGUUACUUCCUCUUUCGAAGCCCUUCU
rnacentral:lncRNA from 1 species